CAGCCGCCGCGGUAAUACGUAGGUGGCAAGCGUUGUCCGGAAUUAUUGGGCGUAAAGGGCUCGCAGGCGGUUUCUUAAGUCUGAUGUGAAAGCCCCCGGCUCAACCGGGGAGGGUCAUUGGAAACUGGGAAACUUGAGUGCAGAAGAGGAGAGUGGAAUUCCACGUGUAGCGGUGAAAUGCGUAGAGAUGUGGAGGAACACCAGUGGCGAAGGCGACUCUCUGGUCUGUAGCUGACGCUGAGGAGCGAAAGCGUGGGGAGCGAACAGGAUUAGAUACCCGUGUAGUCCCUGUCUCUUAUAC
rnacentral:rRNA from 1 species